GUGAUGCUGAACUGUCCACAGUCUGUUGAUGGACCGAUAAUGUGGAAAGUAAAUGAGAAAGAUCCAGACAGCACAAAAUACACCAUUACAAACAAUAAUAGAACUCUCAUUGUAAACAGCGCUACUUACAGUGACAGUGGCAGAUAUUCCUGUAUCAUACAAGCUAAUUCAGUACCUUUCAUCCAGUGGCAGAAUAUUGUUAUCGAACAACAACCCAGUAUCUCUGUGGAAAAUAAUGAGCGAGUUUUUCCCUGUGAAGACAGAACUGUUCAGCUCAAAUGCUGUGUUAAUGGAGGCUACAGUGUUGAAUGGGUCCUGAAUGACAUCGUGCAACAAUCAGGGUCAGAUUGUAUCACAGUAGACCAUAAAAUUCAAACGGAUAAUUGUAAGGAUGAAAUCUUUACAUGUCGACUCAAGGGUUUACAGCCACUUUAUAAAUACAGUUAUAGCAUGAGAAGUGUCACCGUAAAGACAAGCA